UACGAAGGGAGCUAGCGUUGUUCGGAAUUACUGGGCGUAAAGCGAGUGUAGGCGGUUUGGUAAGUCGGAUGUGAAAGCCCCGGGCUCAACCCGGGAAGUGCACUCGAUACUGCCAAGCUAGAGUAUCGGAGAGGUUGGUGGAAUUCUCGGUGUAGAGGUGAAAUUCGUAGAUAUCGAGAGGAACACCGGUGGCGAAGGCGGCCAACUGGACGAAUACUGACGCUGAGACUCGAAAGCGUGGGGAGCAAACAGG
rnacentral:rRNA from 1 species